ACCUCAGCUCCAGCGCCGGUGAGCACCCACACCGCAUGAUUGGUAAGGCAAAAAAAUUUGUUGCAAAAUUUGACAUAAAUAAGAAAAUGUCUACUCUUUCAUUCACAACUUGCACUUUAUUUGAAAAUCAACAUGGUAUAAGAAAAAACAUGGUAAAGACAAAAACAUAUAGUAAACUUCAUCCGAUGGUCUAUCACUAUCUUUCGACGUCAGGUUUCUCAUAAUUUGUUGAAUCCUUAGCACAACCUAUACGAAACUGAUGGAGGCCUCAUCAAAUUGAUCAUGAUUAGUCCAAGAUGAACGCAAUCAAACCGCGAUGGUAGCUCCUUCCUUUUUCGGUAAACUAACGAUUUAUGGAACAUC
rnacentral:rRNA from 1 species